CCAAAGUCACUGUUAUCAUGACUACAACUGUAAUCACCAUCCGUGUUCUAGCAAUAUGAUUCCAACCUGUGGCAGCUAUCAUCGAUGCUACUGUGCACAUCAACCAGUCAAACACCCAGAAACAACUCAGUCGUCAGUUGGUAAGAAUAUAAUUC